rnacentral:rRNA from 1 species
CAGCCGCCGCGGUAAUACGUAGGGUGCAAGCGUUAAUCGGAAUUACUGGGCGUAAAGCGUGCGCAGGCGGUUCGCUAAGACAGAUGUGAAAUCCCCGGGCUUAACCUGGGAACUGCAUUUGUGACUGGCGGGCUAGAGUAUGGCAGAGGGGGGUAGAAUUCCACGUGUAGCAGUGAAAUGCGUAGAGAUGUGGAGGAAUACCGAUGGCGAAGGCAGCCCCCUGGGCCAAUACUGACGCUCAUGCACGAAAGCGUGGGGAGCAAACAGGAUUAGAUACCCGUGUAGUCCCUGUCUCUUAUAU